UGCCGAAACGCUUGAAAUAGCGUCUCUCGGAAAUGGCCGACCGAGACUGAUGAGGCAGGCCUAA
rnacentral:hammerhead_ribozyme from 1 species